CUGACCAAGCCGGGGGGAAAGUGUUUCAUCUCGUCGGUUAUGAAGCGGGUCUUCGUUUCCAUUUGGGAUGGAACUGUUCAAAUACGCACAAAAGUAGAAUUCACACCUACAUUUACAUGAAUGUAAUGAUUGACUUCCUCUGAAUGCCUGAAGGCGAGCGGUGGAGAGAGAAGCAGACAGAGAGGCUGCCGUCAUAAGACCCAUAAGAUGUUCUGAGCCGACUGAAUAAUCCCUCCAAACAGUGACAGGCUGCCUUGUUCUGAGUCACUGGUCUAUUCAUACUGUUCAGUGGAAUUGUCUUUACACUGAAAAACAAUGCAGCACCCUGUGGUGUUUCCAUGCUGUUCCACAGAGUUAAUCAGACAAUGCAUCAUGGUACACGGGACCGGAGCUGGAGGGGGUUUAAUGCGAGUGCAAAGCAGCUGAUUCAUCAGCGCAAAAUGGGACAAGCAACAAUAGAUCAACUUUACAGUGCACCAGAUGCAUGGCCUCAAAAAGACCCCAUUCACACGCGUGUUCAUGCAUCAGAAAGUGCGGCGAUUACCCCUCCAGCCGAGGACCGCGUGCAGUCAACUCGCGAGAUGCUGCGUGCGUUAUGCAGAGGACGCUUUCCCCUGCGUACGGCGAGGCGGAAAGGUCACAGAGCUGGUGUUCAGCCAAUCAGGACGAUCACACGGGUUCAUCUGCGCUGCAGCAGGCACCUGCUGUUAAUCACACGGAGGAAUAAACACAGAGCCGCUGGAAUGAGAGCAUUAAGCCACCGGAAAGACUCCAUCUUACGUCGGCUCAUUUAGAGACUUACAGAUUUCUGUGGCCAAGGGGCCGAUGGAGGAAUUAAUUGAGAAGAAUUGCAGCAAUCCCAUCCAUGUAGCCCACAGAAAUAGAAGUGCUCAAUAGAAUGUGAAGUUAUAAUUGACCAUGUAUGGACGGUACCUCCUGUCCACCCCCCUCUCAAGAGAUGUGUUCGGACGAUCAACAACGCUCCGGAGUAGCACAGCCCUGUGCCUUCCUGUUCCAGGGCCGUGAUACUCUCGGUCACAAAUUAAAUGCCAAUGAAUGCUGUUGGGAAGAUCCCUUAGAGGAGAGCCAGGAGGAGAUAAUAGAAUCACCUUAAUGGUUCCCCCUGUAUAACAAAGAGACGGGAGAGAGGAGCAACACGUCGGAUGGAGUCGGCUAACAAGAGGCUUCAUUUUCACGAGGAUAUACGGUUUCAUUUUCUGGUGUUAUUCAUUCGACGAACACAUUUUCGGCUAUUCAUUUUUUUAAACAGUCGAAGCCAGAUCCAUAAAGAAACCCAAGGGGUGUGAGGAUAAAUGACUCACAAUGGCCGACAACUAUUGAGCCUCUGGUGAUUUAAAGUAAAUGUUCCACCUUGAUGUCAAACUGGGCAGGGCUUAAAGACGGGAGAUGAAAUAGGAUGCAGCGAGUUCAAAGACCGGACAACGUACUGGUUGCUACCACGCUGCUUCAAGAUUCACUGAUGGUGUCGGAACUGGAAUGGAAAUAACAAAAAACUGGAACCAUUUUGUCAAGGAAAUUAAAAUACAAAUCUAAUUUCUUGA